rnacentral:rRNA from 1 species
AUUGAACGCUGGCGGCAGGCCUAACACAUGCCAGUCGAACGGUAACAGGAAGCAGCUUGCUGCUUCGCUGACGAGUGGCGGACGGGUGAGUAAUGUCUGGGAAGCUGCCUGAUGGAGGGGGAUAACUACUGGAAACGGUAGCUAAUACCGCAUAAUGUCGCAAGACCAAAGAGGGGGACCUUCGGGCCUCUUGCCAUCGGAUGUGCCCAGAUGGGAUUAGCUUGUUGGUGGGGUAACGGCUCACCAAGGCGACGAUCCCUAGCUGGUCUGAGAGGAUGACCAGCUACACUGGGACUGAGACACGGUCCAGACUCCUACGGGAGGCAGCAGUGGGGAAUAUUGCACAAUGGGCGCAAGCCUGAUGCAGCCAUGCCGCGUGUAUGAAGAAGGCCUUCGGGUUGUAAAGUACUUUCAGCGGGGAGGAAGGGAGUAAAGUUAAUACCUUUGCUCAUUGACGUUACCCGCAGAAGAAGCACCGGCUAACUCCGUG